rnacentral:rRNA from 1 species
AGAACGAACGCUGGCGGCAUGCCUAAUACAUACAAGUCGAACGAACUCUUCGGAGUUAGUGGCGCACGGGUGCGUAACGCGUGGGAAUCUGCCCCUUGGUUCGGAAUAACAGUUGGAAACGACUGCUAAUACCGGAUGAUGACGAAAGUCCAAAGAUUUAUCGCCAAGGGAUGAGCCCGCGUAGGAUUAGCUAGUUGGUGAGGUAAAGGCUCACCAAGGCGACGAUCCUUAGCUGGUCUGAGAGGAUGAUCAGCCACACUGGGACUGAGACACGGCCCAGACUCCUACGGGAGGCAGCAGUAGGGAAUAUUGGACAAUGGGCGAAAGCCUGAUCCAGCAAUGCCGCGUGAGUGAUGAAGGCCUUAGGUUGUAAGCUCUUUACCGAGAUGAUAUGACAGUAUCGGAGAAUAAGCCCCGCUAACUCCGUGCCAGCAGCCGC